GUUGAACGCUGGCGGCAUGCCUUACACAUGCAAGUCGAACGGCAGCACGGGGGCAACCCUGGUGGCGAGUGGCGAACGGGUGAGUAAUGCAUCGGAACGUGCCCAGUAGUGGGGGAUAACCCGGCGAAAGCCGGGCUAAUACCGCAUACGACCUAAGGGUGAAAGCGGGGGACCGUAAGGCCUCGCGCUAUUGGAGCGGCCGAUGUCUGAUUAGCUAGUUGGCGGGGUAAAAGCCCACCAAGGCGACGAUCAGUAGCUGGUCUGAGAGGACGACAAGCCACACUGGGACGGAGACCAGGCCCAGACCCCUACGGGAGGCCGAAGUGGGGAAUUUUGGACAAUGGGCGCAAGCCUGAUCCAGCCAUGCCGCGUGCGGGAAGAAGGCCUUCGGGUUGUAAACCGCUUUUGGCAGGAACGAAACGGCGCGAGCCAAUACCUCGCGCUAAUGACGGUACCUGCAGAAUAAGCACCGGCUAACUACGUGCCAGCCGCCGCAGUAACAC
rnacentral:rRNA from 1 species